rnacentral:rRNA from 1 species
AUUGAACGCUGGCGGCAGGCCUAACACAUGCAAGUCGAGCGAGGGAAGGGAGCUUGCUCCUGGAUUCAGCGGCGGACGGUUGAGUAAUGCCUAUGAAUCUGCCUGGUAGUGGGGGAUAACGGCCGAAUACGGGCUCUAAUACCGCGUACGUCGUUAGGUAGGAAGUGGGGGAUCUUCGGACCUCACGCUAUCAUAUUAGCCUAGGUCGGAUUAGCUAGUUGGUGGGGUAAAGGCCUAACGAGGCUACGAUCCGUAACUGGUCUGAGAGGAUGAUCAGACACCCUGUAAGUGAGACACGGCCCAGACUCCUACGGGAGGAAGCAGUGGGGAAUAUUGGACAAUGGGCGAAAGCCUGAUCCAGGAAUGCCGCGUGUGUGCAGAAGGUCUUAGGAUUGUAAAGCAAUUUAAGUUGGGAGGAAGGGCAGUACGUUAAUACCUUGAUGUUAUGACGUUACCAACAGAAUAAGCACCGGCUAACUUCGUG